rnacentral:rRNA from 1 species
GACGAACGCUGGCGGCGUGCUUAACACAUGCAAGUCGAACGGAAAGGCCCUGCUUUUGUGGGGUGCUCGAGUGGCGAACGGGUGAGUAACACGUGAGUAACCUGCCCUUGACUUUGGGAUAACUUCAGGAAACCGGGGCUAAUACCGGAUAGGAGCUCCUGCUGCAUGGUGGGGGUUGGAAAGUUUCGGCGGUUGGGGAUGGACUCGCGGCUUGUCAGCUUGUUGGUGGGGUAGUGGCUUACCAAGGCUUUGACGGGUAGCCGGCCUGAGAGGGUGACCGGCCACAUUGGGACUGAGAUACGGCCCAGACUCCUACGGGAGGCAGCAGUGGGGAAUAUUGCACAAUGGGCGGAAGCCUGAUGCAGCAACGCCGCGUGCGGGAUGACGGCCUUCGGGUUGUAAACCGCUUUCGCCUGUGACGAAGCGUGAGUGACGGUAAUGGGUAAAGAAGCACCGGCUAACUACGUG